rnacentral:tRNA from 1 species
AAAAAGAUAAGCUAAUCUUACCAAGCUUACGGGUUCAUACCCCGUCCAUAGAGACAAACUCUUCUUUUUA